CGUGACUCGGUCGAAGCGAGCAAGCGCAACACAGUCAACGGUUGAGCGCGGGACCGUUUGUCUGUGUGCGCUCUUGGAGAGUGUUUCAUCACUUUCAACGGCUUAAAUAUGCUUACGGACGUCGGUAUCGCCUCGUCGGCCACGUUCGCACGUCAUAUUCCCGGAUCGGCGUCAUGAAAAGCCGAAAACAGGCCUCGGUCAAAGCCGCCGGGCUGACGAAGCCGAAAGCCCUGUGCGACGCGCCGGCCUCCACCAGCCUGCCCCCCCUCGUGGAAGGAGAGCUGCGCGGCUUCCUGCGCGUGAGCGUGAGCCGUCUGCGCUGGAGCGUGGCCAGGCCCACGCCGGCGACGCGGGUGCGUCUGCGCUGGUGGGGGGAGUCGUCGGACGGCACGCUCUUCAUCCCCCGGGAUGACGCGGCUCCCUCGCGCAGGAGCGGCCAAACCACGGCGCGCUUCCCCGUGCGCUGCGGCACCAAGCAGCUCACCUCCUACCUGGCAGAUAUGGGCAACUUGGUGCUGGAAGUGUUGAGCAAGCAAGAUUGUCUUCCCGUCGCACACGCUCGAGUGCCGGACAUCUCUCGCCUCUCCCAGUCGCAGCCCAUCACCGGAUUUUACGCCCUGGUGUCACCCGCCAACAAGAAGCUCGGCCAGUUGGAGGUUUCGCUCCAUUUGGAGCCUGUGUCCGGAGCGUGCCGCAAGCGCACCGAUUUAAGCGGCAACGUUCCUCACGUGGCCGCCCUUGACAAGGCUCCGCCUCCCGCCACUGACAAAUCGUACGUGAGCAGCGGUGGAAACACGUUCAGAGGGAAAGAUGGCCCGCAGACGCAUCGAGAUGAGACCGUGGAGAACUUCAAGUUGCAAGCAAACGGUCAAAAAGAGGACGCUCGGCCGAGAAAUGACAUCCUGUCAGUCAUUUUGGAGCGCGGCAGCAAACUUCGGGACGCUAUGCUUGUGUCAGCGUUGAAAAGCGACAUGGACGCCGCCCCGGUUCUCAAAGACCUCCAACUGCCUCUGCAGAGGGACAACGCCAGAGCGCCGUCCAUGCCCUCCGAAGUGGUCCUUGAAAAGGUCCCGCACGCCCAGGCCGACGACGAGGUCGGAGACCGCCGCCGCCGCCUCGGUUCUUCGCCUGACCUGGAUCUCAGAGCUGUGGAUCUCCUCCUCGGCAGGUCGAAGACUCCGCCUCCGUGGCAGGGCGAGGGCUCCUUCCCCGACACUCUGUCCAUUCACAGCAGCGCGAGCGGAGACAGCGAGCUUGGAGACCCGCAGUACGAUCACAGCUUGCUGGAAAAUCUCUUCUACAAAACCCCCAUGUCAGAUUUGAGAGCAGACGAGGCAGCCGCCGACGGCCAAGGGCAGACCGAGAGUCUGUCGGCGACAGCCAAACAGUUGAGGCCGCCCGCGGCCACGACGGGCGACGACGUCGCCGCGGAGCUUCAAAGUGCCUCGACGGAUUUCGGCACUUCUCUGAGUCAGGAGCGGCUGACCUUUCUGAGUUUCAUGCGACUGGUCAAAGUGACCGUCUGCUCCGUGAGCGUGCCGGCGUGCUGCGCCAGCCCCCCGACCGAGAAGCCCCCGAGCAAAUCGCUGUUACGUCGAAAGAAGUGCACCUAUUUUGUGGAGUACAGCUUCCCCAAGACCUCCUCCUCGGGUCGACACGGCCGAAGCGUGGUGCCAGGGGUGGAGGUGACCAGAGCCGCUUCCAGUAACGUCACAGAAGGAGUGGUGAGCUUCAAUCAGCUCUCUGUGUUUCCCGUCCGCUUCAGCAAAUCCACGGUGGAAGUCUGGUGGUCAACCGAGCUCCUUUUUCGAAUUUACGUGCGAAAAAAUGACCAAAAGAAAGCCGUCGUCGUGGGAGAGGCCUCUCAUCCGCUGCGAUGUCUGCUGCAGAGCCAACGGCUCAGCCAGUCGCUGACGCUGCCGGUGCGCGCCGUGGACGGCGCUGCGCGACAACUCUGUCUUCUCAAGGUGCUGCUCGAACUUUCCACCAGCAACAGAGACUCUGAAAUGUGUGAGAAAAGAGAGGAUUCGUCCACACAGAGUCCACCUCGAGAGUCCUCGCAAUGCCUCGAGUUUUGCUCGGAAGACUCGGCCCCGAACGUUCCUCUCGGUCGACGCUCGGCGGUCACCCUUCCCCCGAGGGAAGCGCCCGAGGUCCUGCUGCACACGCUGCUGAUGGUGCCGGACGGCAGGAACUUCACCGGCGGGCCGGCGCAGGCCGUCAACGUGUAUUUGAACUGCAAGAUGUUCUGCUGCGACGAGGUGGCCAGGUCUGUGGUCAGCUGGGGACGCGCCAACCCUUCUUUUAACUUUGUCCAGGUAACUCCCGUGGCUUUGACGGCGCACUUACUGGAGCGGAUGAGGAACAACGUGAUGGUGAUCGAAGUUUGGCAGAAGACGGGCGGCUCCGGCCACGAGGGACUCCUCGGUCUCGUGAAGCUGCCUCUACACCAGUUCUACAUGUCAUUCAGGGAUCCAAAGAUCGCCCAGCUCCUUCUGCAGGCGCAGUACCCCGUUUUAGGGGUGGACUGCUACAUGCCGGUGGUGGACGUGUUCUCGGGUGGCUGCCGAGGCAGCCUCCGGGUCACGCUGGCCAUGGGCCUCUGCGAGCAGGUGCUCGCCCUGCAGCGCGCCAGGGACGAAGAGGGCGAGACGCCGGGCCGCCCGCCCCUCAGACCCCUUGGCCCGCUCGAGCACCAGCCCGGCCUGCCCGCCAAGGCGGCAGGCUACUUCCGGGCGGGGGACUCCAGCGCUGCCUCUCUCGCGUCGCGGGCACGAGCGAUGACCGAGCACGUGUUCGUGAUCAGAGUGGAAAAGGUGACGGGCCUGACUCCCCCGCAGUCGACGGUGUGGGGGGAGGCCGACUGUUACGUCCAGUACGCCUUCCCCUGCCAGGAAGGCGCCGAUGUGGACGCCGCGCUCCACGAGUACGACACGGACCUGAAGCCUUUUCGCACCACCACCGCCUUGUGCGUGCCCGACCCAGUGUUGGGCCACACAGAGACGCACGCCCUCUUGGCUCCUGAAGGCGUUCCCGUUCAGAAGCUCCUGCUCAGCUCUCUUUCCGGCCAGGGUCUGAGCGGCGGCGGGGGUGUCCAUUUUGAAGUGCGGUGCAGAUACUAUUAUCCCAAUGUGCGAGAGGAGCUGGUGGCCAAAGGAAUUUUGCCCUUGUCCAAGCUGUGCGCCAUGGUCACCAUGCAGGGACGGCAAGCUUCCGCCGACGCCCGGAUGUUUUCCAUACCCCUGCUCCCCACAGCGGACCACUUGGCGGCACAUCAGCCUGUACCCUCUGGCCUCCUGGACGUGUGCGUUCGCUACAACUACCGGCCGGUGAGAGCGGAUCCGCCCGCCGCCGCCAGAGGACCCGCCUCCUGUCCUGUGACCCUCAUGCUUCGAGUGCACAGAGCGUGCGGUUUGCAAGCAGCGGCCAGAGCCGUAGCCCAGCACGACGAAAGCUACGACUACUUUGCCAGCGUGGGCGUCAACUCCUACGUGAGCGUCCGCUUGUCCUUCUUACCCGACGACGAGCCCACGUGCACCCGCGUGGCCGCCAGGACCUUCUGCCCCGAGUUUGAGCACCUGGCCGAGGUGCGCUGCCACGCGCUGGUCCACAAGAGCGGCGGUGAAACCCGCAGCCUGGCCGAGCAGCUGGCCGAAGCUUGGGCCGUCUUCGCCGUCUGGAAUAAAGACAGCCGCCGAGGUGCGACUUGCAGGCCUCCAGAUGUGAUGUUGGGCACAGUGAAAAUCCAGCUGGUGGACCUCCUGCGGAAAACGACAGGUAUUUCCGGCUGGUUCGGCAUCUCCGCUGCCCGGGAAUCUCCUCAAAGUCAGCACGCGUCGGUCGGCGGCUUGGAGAUCUCCAUCGGCUUCGCCCACCACUCGGAGCGGGAGCGGCUCAUUCGCGUGGCUCGGGAUUUGGGCUGGGAUCCGACCCGGGCUCAGGUGGACUGUGAGGAGCUGGGCGCCUGGGAGCUGAGCGCCAGGAAGUUAUCCCUGACCUUGUCCGUACCCAGAGCCUGGUUACCGCUCCGCUGCCUGCUCCUGCCGGGCCACGAUUCCCUGCAGCGCUCCACCUACUGUUACCUCCGUUACAAGUUCUACGAGCACGAGGCCUUCUGCUCGCACAUGAAGCACCCGUGCGCCGGCGAGGCGACCGAGGGCGACCGGGCCACCGUGACCUUCCAGGGGAGUCGCACGCUGGAGCUGAUGAGCUCGCAGCCGCUCCUGUGGUACCUUCGAGAGGAGAGGCUGGAGGUCCAGGUGUGGGUGGCUUUCCAGAAGGACAAAGGCCAGAGGCCCCGGGACACGGACCGCCUGCUGGGCUCCGCCUUUGUCGAUCUGUCCUCGCUCGCCAAGGCUCACGGGCACAAGUUGACUCUCAGUGGCGUGUAUCCGCUGUUCAGGCGCUCGGCGGCAGACCUGCAGGGCGCCGCGCUGCGGGUGCACAUCAGCCUGACCGCCGACGGUCACUUUCCGACGGCGGAAGACCCCCCGGCGGACUCCGACAGCCAGGAAGAAACCUUAGUCGAGGAGCCGGCAGCGCCGACGGUGUCGCUGGCGCCAACGGUGUCGCCAACGGUGCCGCCAACGGUGCCGCCAACGGUGCCGCCAACGGUGCCGCCAACGGUGCCGCCAACGGUGCCGCCAACGGUGCCGCGGUCGCCAACGGCACUGCCGCCGUCGCCAAUGGCACUGCCGCCGCUGCCUCAACCGACCCUAAGCCAAACCACCCAAGAUGACGCCUCGUCGCACGCGGCCCAAGUGAUGAGUGACGACUUAUCGUUCCCGGUCACGCUUGCUGUGCACGGGGCCAAGAACCUCAGUCUAAAUGGCGAGAGCGGCGAAGGGACGCCACGCUGCUACGUCUCGUACGUCGUCGCCGACUCUGCGGAACCCGUAUCCACGGCCGUGGCGGCCCAAACCGACCGGCCCGUGUGGGACCACCAACGCGACUGCCGGCUGUCCAAGCGGCUCCUCCUCGACCCUCAACAGAGCUUGGUGUUCAAAGUGUGGCACAAAGGCGUCGCCGAAGCGGAGCGGGCCAUCGGUUUCGCCUCUGUCGACCUGACCCCGUUGCUGUGCGGCCUGCGCUCGCUGUGCGGCUGGUACAACGUCACCGACUUCGGCGGCCAUUGCCGCGGCCAGCUCAAAGUGAGCGUCCAGCCGCUGGAAUGGGUGCAGGACCUCCGAGGGCAGAGGAAAGCAGUCGCGGCGGACGCCGAGCCUUCAUCGCAGUUGGUGCCUCGCACUUACCGGACCAGCGCCACCUACAGCAGCUUCCCUUCCCACAUCAGUCGAUACCCCGAGCAGCACAUCUCCUCACCCGAGCGCGUGGACGCCGUCUUUGCCCAAAGCUCGCCGCCCAGUGAGAGCGAGCGCCACCACGAGCACAUGCAAAAGGUGCGUCUUCAUCAUGAGAGCCUUCAAGAGCAGUCCGGCCUUCACUCGGGCAGCGGCGAUGAGCUCACUUGCUCCAGCUCUCUGCUCUUCUCCACAAUCAGCGGUCAAGUUAAACCAAGCAUCUCAACACGCAGGAAGAUUAUGAGCGAGCAAGACAACAUCCAGAGAUAUUUCAGCAGCAAGAUUGCGCCGCCCGCCUUCCUGACGCCCUCCGAGCCAGACGAGCGGGAGUCCGACGAGGGUGGCGCGCCGGGGCUUCUCGUCACGUCCCGACGCGACGUUGAAGGUCAAAGCCAAGAAGCCAUUGGCUCCGUCCCCCGUAGUAGGUCAGCCAAAGAGAAGCACGCAGACGCCACCUCCAGCCCACGCGCCGCUUCCUCCCGCCGGCCGUCGUUUCCGGCCUCUCAGUCUGAGGAAAGAGAGAGCGAGGAAGCGGAAACCACCGACGGCGAUGGGGAAUGUCCAUCACGGUGCAGCAGCGACGAGGAGGAGGAUUACGAGGAAGUGGUGGUGGAGCCCAGGCCUUUGAACGAGCUGCCCAUUUCCACCCAUAAGAGCGUUAUGCAGAAUAGCGUCCCGUCACACCCGGACCAGAGUCGGACCGAAUCCAGCGGGGGACAAGAAGCCGUCGCUCAUGACCGCCCCCCCGACAGCAUGGACGAGUCAUCGGAGGACGCCUCGAUCUCUCCGAGCGAGGACGACGCGGUGGGCGCCGGCGCCGGGGGUUCCGCACCGCCCAAACAAGUCUCGCUUCCCAACUUUUUCCUGCCCUCUCAGCAGCUGGAGGCCUCGCUGAGAGUGGUACGCUUGGCGCCCUCCUUCUCCAAUCCAUCCGGCGACACAGAGCGCGGUCCGCCUCAAAUUCCUCGCAGGGGUCCUCGGCACUGUCCCGACAUGUCGCCCACUUCCAGGAAGAGGCAGACGGAAAGGUUUGCCCGAAUAUGCGCCGCUCGCUUGGACGACGACGACGACUAGCAAGAUUGUGUGCGUGUGUUUUUAUGUAUAGAAAUGGCAGUUUGGGCGGGCUGCUAUAAAAGACUCGUGUCGCUCGGAAGGCAAGGCGGAACGAAGGGUGCAGCUCAAGGCGCCAGACCUGCACCCGGCCGGCCGGCUCUCCAAGGACCUCCCCCCAGACGCUAGUCUGCGACUAGUUUGG